CAGUGGGUCUGGUUGAGUUUAUUUUGUCUUCUGAACAGCUCGAGCUUUAGAACAAUGAACCAUUUGUUUGGAUGGAGAAGGCUUGCCAGCCUGAUGUUCAUGCUGCUAUAUUUCAACAUUGAUGUACUCUAUGCUUCCCAACCAACAGUCCAGUCUGAGACUCGGCAGGUAAAAGGCGUCGUGGGACAGUCUCUCUCUUUUCCAGAGAGGGUGAACAAGUCUGGCAAUUUACUUUACGGAGACCUUGGCAGUAUUGCAAAUGUGUACCCUGGUAAAGAAGGCAAAAUCACCCUCGAGAAGAGAUUUGAAAAUCGUAUCCACUUGAACAGUGUUACAAGAUACUUCACUCUGUCAGACCUCAAGAUAGACGAUGCUGGGGUUUAUACUGUGGAGGAUACAGAUGGAGGGGGAAAAAACAAAUUUGAGCUCACUGUAUACAAUGUUGUUUCCAAACCUCAGGUGACAGAGUGUGACAGCAGCUCCUGUCGUGCGGUGUGUUCUGUGCACAACGAAAAAGAGGUGACCUUGACCUCGUACAGAGGAGAGGAAAUACUAAACCAGACCAGCAGUCCUGACCUCACCACCGAUCUCUCUCUCCGUUUGGAGGUAGAGGGAAAGAACUACAACUCCACCUACAGCUGUGUGGCUGCUAACCCUYUCAGCAWUGAGACAGUUCCUGUCCCAAAKUGUUGCAGCAAAGAUGGUCAUCCUAAUGARGCAGGUAAGAGCAAUUUUGAAUUAAAGCCAUCCAGAAAAGAGAAAUMACCAAGUGAAAGUGAAGUGUAGUUGAGCUCAUUCAAAACAUAUUUUACAAAAARGAUUUCCUUGUGUCAUUUAUUUCAGACAGUGGUGAGAGGGGUCGGGGUYUUCUUKUUAUUGCUGUAAUCUGCGUUUUGGUUGCCUUGGGGKUGGUUGGACUUGCAAURUAUCUAAAGAAGAGGAGAAAUGGACAACCAAAAGGCAGAUUCAUCUCAAAAAGUGCAAGUUGACAUUGUGUACGCAACGAUAACUCCUAAAAAACAAGCAGAUAAUCAGGAGGAGCGAACAGGUGUACCAGAACUGGAUUCACUUAGAGACAAACCAAAACUGARAUCAGUUUAUGAUACACUCCAAUCACAUCGCAUGGCUGCCAGCGGUGAUGUUGACACAGCAUGAAGAAGCAAAGUGGGAAGUUGCUGAGAAACCGACAUGAUAAUUCACAUCCCGGAGAGGACGGCAUAUCUUAAAGAGGAUGUUGAAACAAAAUGAAGGUU